CCUACGGGAGGCAGCAGUGGGGAAUAUUGGACAAUGGGCGAAAGCCUGAUCCAGCAAUGCCGCGUGAGUGAUGAAGGCCUUAGGGUUGUAAAGCUCUUUUACCAGGGAUGAUAAUGACAGUACCUGGAGAAUAAGCUCCGGCUAACUCCGUGCCAGCAGCCGCGGUAAUACGGAGGGAGCUAGCGUUGUUCGGAAUUACUGGGCGUAAAGCGUACGUAGGCGGUUAUUCAAGUCAGAGGUGAAAGCCUGGAGCUCAACUCCAGAACUGCCUUUGAAACUAGAUAGCUAGAAUCUUGGAGAGGUGAGUGGAAUUCCGAGUGUAGAGGUGAAAUUCGUAGAUAUUCGGAAGAACACCAGUGGCGAAGGCGACUCACUGGACAAGUAUUGACGCUGAGGUACGAAAGCGUGGGGAGCAAACAGGAUUAGAUACCCUGGUAGUCCACGCCGUAAACGAUGAUAACUAGCUGUUCGGGCUCUACGAGCUUGAGUGGCGCAGCUAACGCAUUAAGUUAUCCGCCUGGGGAGUACGGUCGCAAGAUUAAAACUCAAAAGGAAUUGACGG
rnacentral:rRNA from 1 species